rnacentral:tRNA from 1 species
UCUAAUAUGGCAGAUUAGUGCAAUAGAUUUAAGCUCCAUAUAUAAAGAAUAUUCUUUUAUUAGAA